AGAGAGAGAGAACCUUCUCUCUCAGCCGCCUCAUGAUCUCCAACCCCAGCAACAUCUCCAACCUCACGACCCCUCUCCUCUCCUCCCAACUCCCUUUAUCCCCCUAACUUGUUCCUGCAAUACCAUCAACACCACCAUAACCCAAUUGUAGAACAGAGCCAAUUUUCUCAUCAGUUAUGUUUUCCAGCCCUCUGAUAACCUCAUUGCUUCAAUGUUUGGCUCAACAACACAGUCAAUAAUUGAUGUCAAUGGUAAUCAUCAGAUUCAACCCUUUGAAACUAUCUUUGUACCUGUUUCAAAACUUCCUAAUUUGACACAACCUAGUCGUGUUUUUGUUAAUUCAACCCCUGGGGAGAAUGGGAAAAAGGGAGUUGUGGUUGGAUUGGGAAUUGGGUUGGGGGUUUGUGGGAUUUUGCUGGUUUUGGUUUGUGGGUUGUUUGGUUACAGAGAAAAUACAUGGAAGAAGAGGAAAUGGGUGGUAAAGAAAGGUGGAGAGGGAGAGAAAAUGGUUAGAGGAGGAAAGGCUUUGGAUGUGAAAUUUGUGGCUGAUAUGUCAGAUUGUUUGGAUAAGUGUAAAGUGUUUGGGAUUGAAGAACUGAGGCAAGCAACUGAUGGGUUUGAUGAGAGGUAGGUGAUUCAAGAGUCUGUGCAUAAAGGUUGUAUUGAUGGAGUGAUUUAUGCUAUUAAGAAGAUAAAGUGCAAUGCUUGUGAAGAACUUAAGAUCUUGCAGAAGCUCGAAAAGAAGCCCUCCGAAAGUGAUAAAGGUACUUUUUGUAUUGUUUGCCCAAUUGCACAACAUUCGAUUGACACCAAGCGCGUUUAGAAAUAAAGAAAGAAAUAAGGGAGAGAGAGAGAGGAACUAGUCGAAGAAGAAGAACUGAGAGCGACCAGCGCUGACCAUCGACCUGGGUGACCACCGACGACCAGCAAAAUACUAAAUGUGGUGUUCGUUGUCCAUGAAUCUCUAUCGAGAGAGAGGAACUAAUCGACAUCAAUCUCGACUACUCACUAUACUCACUGAAUCUCGCCGUCCGUCAAUCUCUGCAAAAUACUCACUGUACUCACUAAAUCUGCUUGUGCUUUGUUCAAAGUGAGUUUUUAUUUAUUUUUUCUUAUAAAUUUUUAUUUUCUUGUGAAGUUUGAAUCGUCGAGAUUAAAGGUACCCGUGAUGACAGAUUGAGUUUUUUAUAGCUUGAAUCAUUGAGUUUUUAUUUUCCUAUUUUCUUGUUUAGACUGAGAUUAAAGGUACCUGUGAUUACAAUUUUUUCUCUUCAUAAAAGUCUUCUCACUUUGCGGGCAACAACAAAAUUUUUUUAUUUAUUUAUCUUGUCACUGAAUGUGCUUGUGCUUUGUUCAAAUUGAGUUUUUAUUUAUUUUUUCUUAUAAAUUUUUAUUUUCUUGUUAAGCUUGAAUCAGGGGAUUUUUCAGUUUGUAUACUGCUUGAGUAUAGCAUUAUCACUACUCUGUUUUUUAUACUGUUAAGCUUGAGUAUAGCAUUACCACUACUCUUCUUUUUAUUUCAUAAAGACUAAGAGCUAAGAGUUAAGCUUGAGUAUAGCAUUACCACUACUCUGUUUUUGGUCAUUAAAUUUGAUUAAACAUAUAUCAAUUUUGUGUGUUUAUGGUUGGCGCAUUCAUUGAAAAAGACAAUUAGAAGCAUGAAUUUUGGCAGGGGAUUAAAAGAAUGGUUCUCUAUAUUUUGUGUUCUUGGUGUUCACCUAUAUUUGUUGUAUAGUUUGUCUCACUUAUGAAUGCAGACCAUAUUAAGGAAGGCUUGUCACUGCAUUAUUCCAUAGUCCUUUUAUUUUUAUUUUUAACAUUGUAUUUUUUAUCUUGAAUGGAAUUUCCAAAUUUUUCAUUAGUUAGUUGCAUGUUUUCUAGACUUCUAUGUAUAGCACUUUGCAAUAAUCAAAGUAAAAUUGCUCCAAAUAACAAAGUUGUAGUUAUUAGCUAAAUGGGACUGAAUAGCUAUGCAACAAUGUUCUUCUAUAUGUGAUGUAUAUAUGUGUUUUGGGAUGUGUCUAUAGCUGAAUCUGUGUGAUGAAUACAAACUAUGAUUUGAAUCUGUCUAUAGCUGAAUCUGUCUAUGGCUGAAUAUGUUUUGGGAUGUGUGAUGUAUACAGAGUUGCAGCUGCCUUCUGUAGCUGAAUCUGUGAUGUGUCUAAAUCUGUAAUGGUUGUAUGUGUGAUGUACUCACUGAAUCUAUGAUGUCUCUAAAUCUGAGUGGUGUUUAAAAUCUUAUUUUUGAUUUGUUAUGCAUUUUAAAAUCCACUUUCAUUCUGCUGAUUUUUAUGAUAUUUGCAUGACCUUUAUACAAAUUAUAGUAGACUAUUUCACACUUUGCAUUUCAGUUUGAAGGUAUAAUGGACAUUGAUUCAAACAAUCCUACAUUGAGUGGGGGUGAGGAAGUUGAGGAACCGGAGAACAAUCCUUCAUUAAAUGAGAGCGGUGAAAUUGAAGAACCUAAGAAGGGGAUGCGUUUUACCUCAAAGCAAAAAGUGCACGAGUUUUAUGCAAAAUAUGCAAAAAAAUGUUGGAUUUGCUAUAGCCUACAAAACACAGAAUGUUGGAGCUGAUGGAAAGGUGAAAUACUUUGGAAUUGAAUGUACUCGGGCGUAGAAGAUGACAAAAAGAUCAGAAGUAAAUCCCCUGAAACCAUCUUUGACAUCAAAAAUUGAUUGUAAAGCAAAGAUAAGAACGACUUUACAAAAGGAUGGAAUAUAUAAGUUCACCACAGUUGUGCUUGAGCAUACGCAUGACUUGAUUCCUAGUGACUCACGGCAUUUUUUAAUGAAUAAGAGGAUUCUUACUCCUGUGAAGAGAAGAUUAGAAAUAAACGAUGAAGUAGGAAUAGGGGUGUCUAGGAAUUUUCAUUCUAUAGUUGUUGAAGCGGGGGGAUAUGAGGCAUUAACAUUUGAUGAACGAGAUACAAGAAACCACAUUGAGAAUGCUAGAAGAUUGAGGCUUGGAGUAGGAGAUGUCGAAUCAGUUGCAUUUUAUUUUCAUAGGAUGCAACAAGAAAAUUCAAACUUCUAUUCUACAAUUGACUUUGAUGUAGAUGGUCGCAUACGGAACUUGUUUUGGGCGGAUGCAAGGAGUAGGGCAACUUAUAAAGCAUUUGGGGAUGUUGUCUCAUUUGACACCACCUAUCUCACAAACAAAUAUGAUAUGCCGUUUGGCCCGUUUGUAGGAGUUAAUCACCACGGACAGUCAAUCUUAUUUGGUUGUGGGCUAUUAUGUAAUGAAAACACGAAGACAUUUGUUUGGCUAUUCAAAGAAUGGUUAAAUUUCAUGUCAACCACUCCUCCAAAAGCUAUUAUAACUGACCAGUGUAGAGCCAUGCAAAAUGCCAUAGAAAUUGACUUCCCACAGGCUCGACAUCAUUAGUGUUUAUGGCAUAUAAUGAAGAAAAUUCUCGAGAAAUUGAGAGGAUAUGCCCUAUAUGAAGCCAUAAAAUUCGCUUUGCAAAAUGCAAUGUAUGAUUCAUUCACAAAAAAUGAAUUUGAUGAGGAAUGACAAACGAUGAUUGCAAAGUUUAGCUUGUAUGACAAUGAGUGGUUGAGGGUAUUAUAGACAUAAGUGGAUUCUUGUCUAUGUGCAAGAUAUUUUUUGGGCAGGCAUAUCAGUUACACAACGAAGUGAGAGCAUGAAUAUAUUUUUUGAUGGAUAUGUAAACUCAAAGACUACAAUGCAUUGAGAAGUAAGGUAGAGAAUGAGACCAAAGUAGACUUCAAAUCCUGAAACAAAUUGUAUGAUUGCUUAACAGUGUAUGAGUUUGAGAAGCAUUUUCGUGCAUCCUACACUAAUGCAAAAUUUAAAGAAGUUCAAGUAGAAUUGAAGCGCCUAUUGUACUGUCAUGCAACUCUUGUGAAAGAGGAGAGAUUAAUUUGUACUUAUCAUGUGAAUGAGGCUAUUUUAGUGGGUGAGAAAAUGAAGAAGGUUGAAUUUGUUGUCUACUUUAAUUCAACUAAAUGUGAAAUGCAAUAUAUGUGUCGGUGGCUUGAGUUUAGGGGGAUCGUGUGUGCCUAUUCAUUUAGUGUGCUCAUUGAGAGGUGCAUAUAUGAGGUUCCAUAUAAGUAGAUUAUGCCGAAAUGGAGAAAAGAUUUGGAAAGAGGGUACACAUGCAUUCCAACCACAUACAUGAAAUUCGGGGUUGCUCUAAAUGCAAAGGUAUAUGAUAACUACCAUAAGAUAUUGGAUGAAAUUAUAGAAAUUGCUUCCAACGAUGAUAGUAAACACAAAGCCAUUCAACUUGGGUUGAGAGAAAUCAAGAAUAGAGUUAGAAAAGAUGAAUCAGGUUGUGCAAGUAAUGUCCCACCGUCUAGUAGUACUAUCCCACCUUCUAAUACAUCCUUGAAAAGUCUGCCUGGUCGUAGUAAUACAAGCAUGACUCACAAGGUGCUUAGCCCUUUGUUUGCUCGCCGAAGAGGCCAUCCAUGUAUGAAACGGAAGGUUAGCAAGGUGGACGAAAUAGUGAAUCGGUUGAAGGGAAAGACUAAAUUAAAAAGCUACAAAAGUCUAGGGUCGUAAGGUGGGUAAAGGUGAACCUCGUAAGUUAAAUUUUGGUUGUACGAAUAGCAUGGAAGACAAUACGUACGAACCGGCAUCGCAAGCUCAACCGUGCUAUUUUCUUUCUACAGAUGACAUACAAGUGAGUAUGUAUGCACCGGUGCCGCAAGCUCAACCGUACUAUUUUCCUUGUAUGGAUGGGACACAAGAGAGUGUGCAUGUACCGGUAGCGCAAUGCAAAUGGUGGACAAAAUUGGAAACGCAUCUCUGAGUCAAUUAGGAAUGGCGAACAAUAUAAGUAGUCAAAGUUUGACAAUUGCUUCAAAAUUUGUGGACUUGAAUAUAGAUGCGGAUCCAACCAACCCAUUUUUUUUUAUAGUUUCGUACUUGUAAUUUUUUGACUUUGGUUUGUAAACUUGGGAUAGUUUGCUUGUAAAUUUGGGAUUGAAGAGAAUGAAAGCAUUUAUAUUUGUGGUGAUCUUUAUGUUUGCAGAAAUGUUGUUUUAUGAA